CGGAGGGUGCGAGCGUUGUCCGGAAUCACUGGGCGUAAAGGGCGCGUAGGUGGCCUGUGGAAGUCUGCGGUGAAAGCCCGGCGCUCAACGCCGGGUCGGCCGUGGAUACUCUCGGGCUCGAGCUUACUAGAGGCAGAUGGAAUUCCGGGUGUAGCGGUGGAAUGCGUAGAGAUCCGGAAGAACACCGGUGGCGAAGGCGGUCUGCUGGGGUAAUGCUGACACUGAUGCGCGACAGCGUGGGGAGCAAACAGGAUUAGAUACCCUGGUAGCCCACGCCGUAAACGAUGGGCACUAGAUGCUUGGGGGAGCGACCCCCUGAGUGUCGUCGCUAACGCAUUAAGUGCCCCGCCUGGGGAGUACGGCCGCAAGGCUG
rnacentral:rRNA from 1 species